rnacentral:rRNA from 1 species
AUGAUGCCCCAUUGUCACCACGAGUAUUCAAUUGCAAUACAUAUAUCAAGUGUUCUCAAAUCCAUAAAAGUAUUCAAUUCGAUAACAAUGAAAUCUCAAAGAGAAAAACUCAAUUCAUCACAACAAGAUAGAGAGGGGGAAACACCAUAUGAUCCGACUAUAUUAACAAAGCCCGCGAUACAUCAAUAUCGUGACAUCUCAAGAACACGAGAGAGAGAGAGAGAGAUUAAACACAUAGCUACUGGUACAAACCCUCAGCCCCGAGGGUGGACUACUCCCUCCUCAUCGUGGUGGCCGCCGGGAUGA